rnacentral:rRNA from 1 species
GCCUAAAGAGAAGCUUGCGGCUGAUUAGCUUGUUGGUGAGGUAAUGGCUCACCAAGGCGACGAUCAGUAUCUGGUUUGAGGGGACGAUCAGACACACUGGAACUGAGACACGGUCCAGACUCCUACGGGAGGCAGCAGUGGGGAAUUUUCCGCAAUGGGCGAAAGCCUGACGGAGCAAUACCGCGUGAGGGAUGAAGGCCUAUGGGUUGUAAACCUCUUUUUUCAGGGAGGAACAAAAUGACGUGUACCUGAAGAAUAAGCAUCGGCUAACUCCGUGCCAGCAGCCGCGGUAAGACGGGGGAUGCAAGUGUUAUCCGGAAUCACUGGGCGUAAAGCGUCUGUAGGUGGUUAAGUAAGUCAACUGUUAAAUCUUGAGGCUUAACCUCAAAGUCGCAGUCGAAACUGCUUGACUAGAGUAUAGUAGGGGUAAAGGGAAUUUCCAGUGGAGCGGUGAAAUGCGUAGAUAUUG